AUGUAAAAUAAGUUUCUUUGUUUUGCUGAUAGUCUAGUUCUCCAAAGAGCUUUUUCAAUCUUUAUCAAUCUUUAAAGUUAAAUAGCUUUCCUAAUAGUCCUUUGAAAGGAUGAUUGUAUUUAUAUGGUAAUGAAGCUCAGGUACCUGACAAUGAUGAGCAGUUUGUACCAGACUAUCAGGCUGAAAGUUUGGCUUUUCAUGGCCUACCACUGAAAAUCAAGAAAGAACCCCACAGUCCAUGUUCAGAAAUCGGCUCUGCCUGCAGUCAAGAACAGCCCUUUAAAUUCAGCUAUGGAGAAAAGUGCCUGUACAAUGUCAGUGCCUAUGAUCAGAAGCCACAAGUGGGAAUGAGGCCCUCCAACCCCCCCACACCAUCCAGCACGCCAGUGUCCCCACUGCAUCAUGCAUCUCCAAACUCAACUCAUACACCGAAACCUGACCGGGCCUUCCCAGCUCACCUCCCUCCAUCGCAGUCCAUACCAGAUAGCAGCUACCCCAUGGACCACAGAUUUCGCCGCCAGCUUUCUGAACCCUGUAACUCCUUUCCUCCUUUGCCGACGAUGCCAAGGGAAGGACGUCCUAUGUACCAACGCCAGAUGUCUGAGCCAAACAUCCCCUUCCCACCACAAGGCUUUAAGCAGGAGUACCACGACCCAGUGUAUGAACACAACACCAUGGUUGGCAGUGCGGCCAGCCAAAGCUUUCCCCCUCCUCUGAUGAUUAAACAGGAACCCAGAGAUUUUGCAUAUGACUCAGAAGUGCCUAGCUGCCACUCCAUUUAUAUGAGGCAAGAAGGCUUCCUGGCUCAUCCCAGCAGAACAGAAGGCUGUAUGUUUGAAAAGGGCCCCAGGCAGUUUUAUGAUGACACCUGUGUUGUCCCGGAAAAAUUCGAUGGAGACAUCAAACAAGAGCCAGGAAUGUAUCGGGAAGGACCCACAUACCAACGGCGAGGAUCACUUCAGCUCUGGCAGUUUUUGGUAGCUCUUCUGGAUGACCCUUCAAAUUCUCAUUUUAUUGCCUGGACUGGUCGAGGCAUGGAAUUUAAACUGAUUGAGCCUGAAGAGGUUAGUUUAAUAGAUUUUAAUUAGGACACUCAGACAUGUUAUAACAUAAAGAAACUGACACAUUUGAUUAAUAUACCAAAAAUGUAUUCUUAAUCAUUUCAAGACUUUAGGGAAACUUUCUGAAUUAAAAAGCAUGCAAAGAUAAAACAUGUCUACCUUUAAAAUCACCAAUGUAUUGCAUGUUCCUUCCAGUUGUAUACAAUCCUACAAAACUGAUGUUGGAGAAAAUUAA
rnacentral:sRNA from 1 species